UAUAAUUUUUAACUCUUCGUUUUAUUUAAAUUUUUUUAUUAAUAUUUUUUUUAUUAGAUGAUAAAUUAUAAAUAGCACUUUACGUGUGACUAAUUUUUUUCUAGUUUUCUGAAAAUUUUUUAAAUAAGACGGAUGGUUAAACGUUGGACACGUAAACCGAAG
rnacentral:pre_miRNA from 1 species